rnacentral:misc_RNA from 1 species
ACAAAUCGUUUGUAUGGCUUCGGCUAUACAUAUUCACCCUAGCCUGCUAGUCAGGCUUUGGUUUGGCCAGUGCAAACUGGCCACAUAGACGCUUGUAUGUUUGACAGAGUAUAGUUGCAUCAAAAAAAUGAC